UCGUAACAAGGUUUCCGUAGGUGAACCUGCGGAAGGAUCAUUAACGCGCAGGCCGCAGACGGCCCGCCCCCGGAUGCGUCCGAGGGCGGUGCCGCCGGCCACACGCCCAUUCUUGUCUAUCUACCUGGUUGCCUCGGCGGGCCGCGCACUCGUGCCGCCCGGGGAUGUUUAUCUCCCUGGACCGCGCCCGCCGGAGGAGCGAUUAAAAUCCAUGAAUACUGUUCAGUCUGAGCGUAAGCAAGUGAAAUCAGUUAAAACUUUCAACAACGGAUCUCUUGGUUCCGGCAUCGAUGAAGAACGCAGCGAAAUGCGAUAAGUAAUGUGAAUUGCAGAAUUCCGUGAAUCAUCGAAUCUUUGAACGCACAUUGCGCCCUCUGGUAUUCCGGGGGGCAUGCCUGUUCGAGCGUCAUUUCAACCCCUCAAGCCCGGCUUGUGUGAUGGACGACCGUCUCGCCCUCCCCGAUCCCGGGGAGGGGGACGCGUCCGAAAAGCAGUGGCCAGGCCGCGAUUCCGGCUCCUGGGCGAAUGGGCAACAAACCUACGCCUCUAGGACCGGCCGGCUCUCUGGCCUAGUUUCCGUUAGGGAUGAACUUCCCUACAAUUCAGGUUGACCUCGGAUCAGGUAGGGAUACCCGCUGAACCUAAGCAUAUCA
rnacentral:misc_RNA from 1 species